rnacentral:pre_miRNA from 1 species
UCUUAUGGAUGAGCAAAGAAAGUGAUUUCCUGAGAUGGAAUCCAUUCCUGGUGAAGAAACUGUGAA